AUGUGCCGGCCCAGGCCCCGGCAGGGAGCGAGGCCUCGCGAAGGGCUCGCGCAGCCGCAGUCAGAUGUUCCGGGGCGGGGCGAGCCCCGCGGUCCUCGGCGGCCGCUGUUGCUCUGUGGAGGCGGGGGUGGCACGCUGAAUUUUUCAGUGUGGGAAAGGGAUGGUGGCUGUUGCCCUCCUCAGCAUGGAGCCCAUGACCUGCCCUGGGCAAGUUCAGACCCAACUCACACAUCUGCAAGCAGACUAGAAAUAGCCAAUCAGGCAUGGAUCAAUGGCCAUCAGACUCAGAACCCUCAGGAAAACUGGAAGAAAUUCUUCAGAGAUGACAAAGGCAAAGGUUUUCUACCUGAGCUUCAGGGUGGUCAGCACAACCUCACUUCUGCACUCAGCUCCUCAGCCAGGACAGAGAGAAAAAGGCAGAUUCACCAGAGGAGCUGGGACAUUCUUAUUUAUAAAUGAAGGAAAUGAAGAGGCCCCAACCAGAGCAAGUACAGAUUUUGUGAAAGAAUAAAGGCCUCGAGUAUGACA
rnacentral:lncRNA from 1 species